ACCUGUUGUCAAAGUCGUUGGAGGUGGGGUCACGGAGGUCACUGGUGUCGUUGCAUUGGUUGGAGAUGGGGUCAUGGUGGUUACUGGUGUUGUUGCAUUGGUUGGAGAUGGGGUCAUGGUGGUUACUGGUAUUGUUGCAUUGGUUGGAGAUGGGCUCACGGUGGUUACUGGUGUCGUUGCAUUGGUUGGAGAUGGGGUCAUGGUGGUUACUGGUGUUGUUGCAUUGGUUGGAGAUGGGGUCAUGGUGGUUACUGGUAUUGUUGCAUUGGUUGGAGAUGGGCUCACGG